rnacentral:tRNA from 1 species
GCGCGGGAGGUCGGGGCAUGACGACGGCACCGGUGCUCGAGGCGGUGGGCCUGAGCCUGUCGUUCGGCGCGACGCCCGCGCU